GCCAGGCAUGGUGCCGUAUACCUGUAAUCCCAGUGGCUCAGGAGGCUGAGGCAGGAGGAUCGCAAGUUCAAAGCCAGCCUCAGCAAAGGUGAGGCGCUAAGCAACUCAGUGAGACCCUGUCUCUA
rnacentral:sRNA from 1 species